rnacentral:rRNA from 1 species
UACGAUAAAGACAAGUGUUAGUCAUCUUUAUUAGGUAUAAAGGGUACCUAGACGGUAAAUCAUAGCCCCGUGUAUAUAGAAAGGGUACUUUUUUACUAGAGUUUUAUGAGAGAGGUAAAUAUUAGAACUAUAGGAGUAGAGAUGAAAUGCUUUGAUACUUAUGGGACUGGGAAAGGCGAAAGCAACCCUCUAUGUAUAUAAACUGACGUUGAGGGACGAAGGCUUGGGUAACGAAUAGG